GGUAGUGUAGCACAGUGGUAAGGAGCAGGGCUUGUAACCAAAAGGUUGCUGGUUCAAUUCCACCACCAUUG